UGUCCAGGGGCGGGAAUCGAACCCACAACCUUCUGCUUACCGGGCAGGUGCCAUGUCCAGAAUUAUUAUUUGUAACUAGCCGAAUGAUAUCCGGGC